AUGUGUGUUUGGAAAACAAGCAUGCCUUAUAUUGUUCUGUAUUUAUGUGCAGUCUAUCUGCUGUCAUAUUACUAUGAAAAAGAUCAUAUAUGUUCCAUUUGUCGACCUCUAUUCAACUCAUCUAUGCCCAGGAGCUCGGGCAAACCUUUUUUAGUCCAAUAUCUCUGGACUACCAAGGUUUCAAGAGCACCAGGGUUUGUCAUGUUUGUAUACAUUGUUCAUAUUCACCUUGCCCAUGAUAUGAUUUAUAACUGUAACUCUAUAUCUGAGAAUAAAACUGGUUGUUCCAUUGCAAUAUGA
rnacentral:rRNA from 1 species